UCAGCAAAGGGAAAAUUAAAAUUCCACAUGACGGUCACGAAAAAAAAAAGAACGUCACGAUCCAAUCAAUUUGCUCCACGUAUCUUCCUUUCUCAUUAUUUGCGUACCUCUCCAGUUAGGUUAUCACCGGCUUUUAUCAUCAAUUCUGAAAGACAGCUCUUUCUCAUUUCCACCACGCGAGAAUUUCAACGUUUUUCUGGCUGCGAUAGUUUCUUAGAAAUUUCCUUUGCUUUCUGAUUUCUGAAUCUGUGACAGAUGGAAAAGAUCAGAAGCAUGAGCUCUCAUGCAGCGCAGAACUCUAGAACGCCAAUUUUGUCAGUGAACACUUGCCAGUUGCUGUACAAAUUGGCAGUCGGUUCGUGAUUUACACUUAAUGAAUGGAUCUAUCUCAUAUCAUAAACUUUUUCCUUUUAAAUUUCCUGUUCUUUUUGGGGAAUAUUUUUCAAGUUUUUGGGCUGAUUCCAACGUUUAAUUGAUUAUAAGUGGAAUUAUAAAGAUAGCACUCAAUGGGUGUGUACAUUCUAUAUUAAUCAGAAUUCUGCUGGAAAGGAAAAUUCACUUCAUACCGAACAUUUUUAGAUACGAUUUCAUAGUAACAGACUAACAGUAAAAAAUAUACUGACUGGAUAUAGUGCUUGCUGAUACACAACCAGUAAGCGUUAUGCAUGACUGAAUUGGUAAGAGCAUUUUUUCAACUGCACUGCAUCGAUUGGUAAAUUAUCCUCUGGAAAUUUGCAUGUUGUAAUUUUCUCUUCUCCCUGAUCGGGUAACAGAUCGCACGGUGGAGGAGUAACCUGGCUUGUUAUUCCCUCGACAUCGGUGCAAGUCCAUGGCUGUUUCUUUGCCUUUGGUGCCAAGCCGAUUGUCACAUUGGAAAUGCAUAUAUCUGUGAAUGUGUCACCUGAAAUUCCCUCCAAUCUAGCUGCCAUUGUUGCGUUUUCAACUACCAUAUCCCUGUAGUUAAUUCCCUGAAUUACAGGCAAUGCGUGUGGGUCAUAAUUCUUAUCGGCAUGUGAUCCGUAAUCACCUGUCAUCCAGAAUGCCCAUUUCAUGGUAUGCAUUGUCAUCCUCCUAACAUAUAUGUCUUUUACAUAUCCUCCCCUUCCUAUGCCAGUUUUUAUCCUGACCCCGGAUUCAGAAUUGAUAGCUACGAUGUCUUCGGCUCGGACAUCUUGGAUCCCGCCCGACAUCUCACUCCCCAGUGCAAUGACAGCACUUGUUGGGGAAAUGCAGGUGAGCCGUCUGACGACCAGUUGCUUAGUCGGCAAUCCGAAUCUUAUGCCAUACUCAUCCCAACCACUCUUGACAGCUACACAAUCAUCUCCAGAUACUAUGUAACAAUCUUCAAUUCUAACGUUUGUGCAGGAAUCUGCAAAUGGAAGUCGUCAUUGGUUAACAAGAUGUAUAAAACUACUUCUUGAGGAAGGUUUGGAUAACAAACCUGGGUUGAUACCAUCUGUAUUCGGCGAUCGAACUGGAGCGAUAAUGGUGAUUCCUUGAAUAAGAAUAUUGCUGUGUAACAUUUACAAGAGAACCAAAUUAGGGAACGUUGAAUCUCGUACAUAUCUUUUUUCAAUGGAACAACUAAUUGGUUACCUGCUGUAUACAGGAUGAACAUUCCAAGCUGGAGAAUUCAGCAGGGUCAGGCUUGAUAUCUGUAUAUCACGGGAAUACAUAAGCUCGAUUAAGUAAGGUCGAGUGUACUUAAGCUUGCCCUGAUGAAAAAGCUGCCACCAGCGAUCACCUUGACCGUCAAUGGUGCCAUUGUUACCUGAUGUUGGUUGGUUCCACUUGAAUUUUCAGACACAAGUCAAGGAAAAUUAGAAACAAACUGACUUUAGCAUUGGGACAGUUACCUGUGAUGACAACAUCCGUGAGGUUUGUUCCAAAGAUUAAACUGAUGUACCUUCCUCCUGAUGUGUCCCUUCCAUGACCGUAGGAUGGCAAUGGUUCGACCACAGGCCAUUCAUUCGGAUCCUAUGAAAGUAGUUAAAAAAUAGGUACAAACUCUUAGAUGAAUAUAGACCAUCUAUUUGGUGUCAUUCGAUUGACAAGUUAGUUGAUCUACGAUUACGAUUUUUGUAAUACGGUAUCUAUACAAUAAUGAAUGCCAAGUGUAUCUUUCAGUUA